UACGAAGGGGGCUAGCGUUGUUCGGAUUCACUGGGCGUAAAGGGUGCGUAGGCGGGUUUUUAAGUCAGGGGUGAAAUCCCGAGGCUCAACCUCGGAACUGCCUUUGAUACUGGAAAUCUUGAGUCUGGGAGAGGUGAGUGGAACUGCGAGUGUAGAGGUGAAAUUCGUAGAUAUUCGCAAGAACACCGGUGGCGAAGGCGGCUCACUGGCCCGGAACUGACGCUGAGGCACGAAAGCGUGGGGAGCAAACAGG
rnacentral:rRNA from 1 species